GCCUGCUGGCUCAGUCGGCAGAGCAUGUGACUCUCACUCUCAGGGUUGUGAGUUCAAGCCCCACGUUGGGCA
rnacentral:tRNA from 1 species